rnacentral:rRNA from 1 species
UACGUAGGGUGCGAGCGUUGUCCGGAAUUAUUGGGCGUAAAGAGCUUGUAGGCGGUUUGUCGCGUCUGCCGUGAAAAUCCGGGGCUCAACCCCGGACUUGCGGUGGGUACGGGCAGACUAGAGUGUGGUAGGGGAGACUGGAAUUCCUGGUGUAGCGGUGAAAUGCGCAGAUAUCAGGAAGAACACCUAUGGCGAAGGCAGCUCUCUGGGACGGUACUGACGCUGAGACGCGAAAAGCGUGGGGAGCGAACAGG